GGAUUAGAUACCCUGGUAGUCCCAGCCGUAAACGUUGUCUACUCGGUGGUGGGGGUGUCGAUCCUCUCACUGCCCAAGCUAACGUGAUAAGUAGACCGCCUGGGGAGUAUGCGCGCAAGCGUGAAACUCAAAGGAAUUGACGGGGGCCCGCACAAGUGGUGGAGCAUGUGGUUUAAUUCGAUAAUAAGCGAGGAACCUUACCUAGACUUGACAUAUAGCAGACCGCUGCCGAAAAGUAGUUUCCCUCCGGGGCUGUUAUACAGGUGCUGCAUGGCUGUCGUCAGCUCGUGCCG
rnacentral:rRNA from 1 species